AUAAAAAUUCGAGAUACUUCAAAAAUUCUGGGUUGCAGAAACGGAACAACCUACCCCCUGAAAAGAGAGGUUGUUCCAGGCGACCAUCUGACGACAGAACACCCAGAAUUUUCAUGGAGCGCCUGCUCCACUCAGGUAAGUAUCUCGACCCAAAAAAAAAAUGUUUAUUCUUGUUUUCACCUUCUCUCUGAUUUAUUUUCACACCAGGGACGUUGUGAAGUAAGUCUGGGGGAGGGUUUUCGUCGUUUACUAACUCGUUUCUUUCUUUUGUUUUUCUUUUGG
rnacentral:lncRNA from 1 species